rnacentral:rRNA from 1 species
GAUGAACGCUGGCGGCGUGCCUAAUACAUGCAAGUCGAGCGAACGGACGAGAAGCUUGCUUCUCUGAUGUUAGCGGCGGACGGGUGAGUAACACGUGGAUAACCUACCUAUAAGACUGGAAUAACUUCGGGAAACCGGAGCUAAUACCGGAUAAUAUUUUGAACCGCAUGGUUCAAAAGUGAAAGACGGUCUUGCUGUCACUUAUAGAUGGAUCCGCGCUGCAUUAGCUAGUUGGUAAGGUAACGGCUUACCAAGGCAACGAUGCAUAGCCGACCUGAGAGGGUGAUCGGCCACACUGGAACUGAGACACGGUCCAGACUCCUACGGGAGGCAGCAGUAGGGAAUCUUCCGCAAUGGGCGAAAGCCUGACGGAGCAACGCCGCGUGAGUGAUGAAGGUCUUCGGAUCGUAAAACUCUGUUAUUAGGGAAGAACAUAUGUGUAAGAAACUGUGCACAUCUUGACGGUACCUAAUCAGAAAGCCACGGCUAACUACGUG